rnacentral:rRNA from 1 species
GUGUCAGCCGCCGCGGUAAUACGUAGGUGGCAAGCGAUGUCCGGAAUUAUUGGGCGUAAAGGGCUCGCAGGCGGUUUUUUAAGUCUGAUGUGAAAGCCCACGGCUCAACCGUGGAGGGUCAUUGGAAACUGGAAAACUUGAGUGCAGAAGAGGAAAGUGGAAUUCCAUGUGUAGCGGUGAAAUGCGCAGAGAUAUGGAGGAACACCAGUGGCGAAGGCGACUUUCUGGUCUGUAACUGACGCUGAUGUGCGAAAGCGUGGGGAUCAAACAGGAUUAGAUACCCGGGUAGUCC